ACAACAUCAGGACCGUCUACUGAGCAAUAUCACCCGCUCGGUGGAAGAUCUUCCCUUUGUCGU
rnacentral:pre_miRNA from 1 species